ensembl:snRNA U4 U4 spliceosomal RNA
AACUUUGCACAGUGGCAGUAUCAUAACCAAUGAGAUUUAUCUGAGGCACACUUAUUGCUGAUUGAAAAUUUUCCCAAUACCCUGCUGUGAUGACUUGCAAUAUAGUCAGCAUUGGCAAUUUUUGACAGUCUCUGCAGAGA